AGCGAACGCUGGCGGCAGGCCUAACACAUGCAAGUCGAACGGGCACCUUCGGGUGUCAGUGGCAGACGGGUGAGUAACACGUGGGAACGUGCCCUUUGGUUCGGAACAACUCCGGGAAACUGGAGCUAAUACCGGAUAAGCCCUUCGGGGAAGGAUUAUCGCCAAAGGAUCGGCCCGCGUCUGAUUAGCUUGUUGGUGAGGUAAUGGCUCACCAAGGCGACGAUCAGUAGCUGGUCUGAGAGGAUGAUCAGCCACACUGGGACUGAGACACGGCCCAGACUCCUACGGGAGGCAGCAGUGGGGAAUAUUGGACAAUGGGCGCAAGCCUGAUCCAGCCAUGCCGCGUGGAUGAUGAAGGCCUUAGGGUU
rnacentral:rRNA from 1 species